rnacentral:rRNA from 1 species
UACGGAGGGUGCAAGCGUUAAUCGGAAUUACUGGGCGUAAAGCGUGCGUAGGCGGUGAGUUAAGUCUGCUGUGAAAUCCCUGGGCUCAACCUGGGAAUGGCGGUGGAUACUGGCUUGCUGGAGUACGGCAGAGGAAGGUGGAAUUCCCGGUGUAGCGGUGAAAUGCGUAGAGAUCGGGAGGAACAUCAGUGGCGAAGGCGACCUUCUGGGCCAGUACUGACGCUGAGGCACGAAAGCGUGGGGAGCAAAC